UUAACUCAAAUUUGUAUGAAGUUGAGACGUUUGCCUACGUUUGCCGCUAGGGGCGGUGUUCCAAAUCCAUACAAAUUUGAGUUA
rfam:Bombyx mori DNA, contig: Bm_scaf42_contig24050, strain: p50T/Dazao, build 2, whole genome shotgun sequence.